rnacentral:lncRNA from 1 species
CAGGUUUGCCGACCUUACGGGCCCUUCUCCGCCAGCCCUGGCUGGGUCACCCCCACGACCCGGGACUCCCCCGCCGUUCCCUCCCGGGCUGCCUGCAGUGAGGUCCGCUCCUGAGGCCUCAGCCUCGCCGGGGGUAGGGCCCUCUCCCGCCGUCGCCGCAGCUCCUUUCCGUCCCGGGGCCUGGGGGGCACCGUCCCACGGGUGAGGGCCGCCUCCAGCGCCUGGCCCAGCCAUGCGAACGCCUGGAGCCCGCGAGCUGCAGCUGCGGCCCUGAAGGUGCCGCAUAUCCUGCCGAGUGGGUGAAGCGUGGCACUUUGGAAAACAAAUCGGGUGAUCCGCCCACCUCGGCCUCCCAAAGUGCUGGAAUUACAGGCAUGAACCACGGUGCCCGGCUGACACAAGGAACUUUCUAUGAGGUCCUAGGAAUGAAGGAAAACAGGCAAUAAGGCAAGAAUCGCUGUCGAAGGAGUCUGCGCCACCUGCUCGCACAGCUCACUUGUGCCUUCUGAGCCUGCUGGAGCCCAGUGUACAUAUGCCGUCUCCGCGUGAUUAGAGAUUGCUGCUGCACGUGCCCAAUCCCGUGGCGGGGCUGGAA